CUCUGUGACUCCUACGGGAGGCAGCAGUGGGGAAUAUUGCACAAUGGGGGAAACCCUGAUGGCAGCCAUGCCGCGUGUGUGAAGAAGGCCUUCGGGUUGUUAAAGCACUUUCAGUAGGGAGGAAGGUACGUGUAGUUAACACCUGCUACUAUUUGACGUUACCUACAGAAGAAGCACCGGCUAACUCCGUGCCAGCAGCCGCGGUAAAUACGGAGGGUGCGAGCGUUAAUCGGAAUUACUGGGCGUAAAGCGCAUGCAGGCGGCCUGUUAAGUCAGAUGUGAAAGCCCGGGGCUUAACCUCGGAAUUGCAUUUGAAACUGGCAGGCUAGAGUCUUGUAGAGGGGGUAGAAUUUCAGGUGUAGCGGUGAAAUGCGUAGAGAUCUGAAGGAAUACCAGUGGCGAAGGCGGCCCCCUGGACAAAGACUGACGCUCAGAUGCGAAAGCGUGGGGAGCAAACAGGAUUAGAUACCCUGGUAG
rnacentral:rRNA from 1 species